UGGUUGUGGUCUACAACUCUGCCAGUAUGGUGACCUCAUAAUUACAUUAAUGCAGCUUCUCUCUGUCUCUCUCGCUCUCUCUCUCUGUUGUUAACAUCCAUAUGGGCCUUAUAGCUAAGAGGAGUCAGUCUGUAUGAGAAAAGAGUUCCCAAAGGUGGAGCGAUUGGAGAGGCAGUCUGCAGAGCUGAGACUGGCCCCACAGCAGCCAUGGAGAACACAUUCAACACACGGAGAUAACCACACAGCACCGGAACAGGACCUGAGCCCUAGGACCAUGCCUCAGGACUACCUGGCCCGAUGACAC